AUGCUAGAGAGCGUGGCUGCGGGUGUGUCGAUGGUGGCGUGGCCGCUGUUCGCCGAGCAGAGGUUGAACGCGGUGAUGAUGUCGUCAGAGCGGGUGGGCCUGGCGUUGUGGGAGAGGCCUCCCCUCGGUAAGGACGGAGCGGUUGCUGGUGGGAGGAGGUGGCGGCGCUGGUCAGAGAGCUUAUGGAAGGGGAGAAGGGCGCCGCUGCGCGAACAAAGGUCAGCCACCUUCGGGAUGAGGCUGCGAUUGCUUCGGCGCAGAGCGGGCCGUAGGAUCGAGCUCUCGUGGUAG
rnacentral:rRNA from 1 species